rnacentral:rRNA from 1 species
AAAAUAACGGGAGGCAGCAGUGGGGAAUCUUCCGCAAUGGGCGCAAGCCUGACGGAGCAACGCCGCGUGAGUGAAGAAGGUCUUCGGAUCGUAAAGCUCUGUUGACGGGGACGAACGUGCGAGGGGCGAAUAGGCUCUUGCAAUGACGGUACCUGUCGAGGAAGCCACGGCUAACUACGUGCCAGCAGCCGCGGUUAAUUUUU